AAAUUAUAUAACUAUUCAGGGAGAAGAUGCUUAGUAUAAAAUAUUGAGUCAGGCAAAAUUCUAAUCCAUAUGAUCUAAUGAAAUGAACAUAAGUUUGCUAUCCUCAUUUUAAUCAGUAUCUUCUCUCCUGAUUUUUUUCACAUAGAAACGUUCAUUACACUUACCACUUGUUUCUCAUGGGUAGAAUGCUGGGACAAAGAUGUGACUUAGAUCUCACAGACAUGAGAAUCAUAGCUAUUAUUUACUUGUUAUUAUUCUUUAGCCAUAAGCUACAACUAGUUAUUUUUUAAGCUCAUCUUGAAUGUGCAAACCCAGUGUAUACAGUGAGUAGUCACAUAAGUUCUGUAAUUCACCCGUACGAUAAUUUAAUUUGUUUUAAUACAUGGCUACAGUCUACACUAUGUCAGACCUUGUGCUGGUUGCUGUUGUUACACUUUGGAAACAGCCAUAUCUUCGGUUUUGGAAGACUAGUGGGGAAGGCAGCUGGUGAUCUCGUCACGAUAGAUGAGAUGAGAAGUGUGACAUCCUGCCGGGGCAUAUUCCAGGUGGACAGCACUAGUGAAGGGAGCACACGAAGCCCUUGGAAAUCGGAAGGCUGAAGCAAAAGCUUGGACUGAGAGUAGGAGGAAGGAAGUUGCUUGUUAUUUUGAAUAAGCAAGCUUCAUGAAUAAAAUGCUGACCUACUGUCUGCUCUCCACACUGCUACACUGGUUAGCACACUGUAAUUGCAAAACACUUUGCUAGAGCCUUUUGCCGAAUUUCCCUCAAAAGAGGCAAGUUUUGAUUUUUUUUUUUUUUUGUCAAGCAUAUACCCUCCGAUUUAGCUGUUCACCAUCUUUGUAAUCUACUGGGACUGUGAUGUAACCUCUGGCAUCUAAGAUUCUUCAGGCUUGUUAAUAACCACCAGCUACAGCUGAGAGAAAAGCAAGAAUGCAAGGUUUGGAUAGAUAAUGGCAGUGGAAGGAAGGAGCUGGGAAGAUAAUUAAAACAAUGACAUUCUAAGGUAGCUGAAGUUUCCCUUUUAUUGAAAAUAUUUGAGAAUCUUUAGGAUCUCCAAUUUUCUGCUCUCAGUAAUUUUUCUCAACAAAUUAUUCCACUACUGCCUCACGGAAGCAUAAACCACUGUCUCCAGUGCUUGGAGAAAUCACAAAAUUUCAAAAAACAGCCACAAUCAUUGUUUUCAAAAAAUGUAUGUUAAAAUUAAUUUAUAGUUAAGUUUACUUUUUACCCUUUAUAUCAGAAGAGGCCAUUUAUUAUUUAUUUAUUUCAGAAUUAUUUCUUUCCUAUUUUUAUUGUAUGUAUUUAUCAUGUACAACAUGAUGUUUUGAAGUAAGUAUACAUUGUGGAAUGGCUAAAUCAAGCUAAGCAUAUGCAUUACCUCACAUACUUAUCUUUUUUUUGUGGUGAGAACACUUAACAUCUACUCUCAUGUUUGAGUUCCUUAUGUAUGUUAGAUAUUAACUCCUUAUCAGAUAUAGUUUGAAAAUACUUUCUACCUUUUGUUGUCUGUGUUGGCAAUUUUCAAGAAUACAAUACAUUGUUAUUAACUAUAGUCAUCACAUUGUACAAUCGGGUCUCUUGAAUUUAUUCCUUCUGUCUAACUGAAAUUUUGUAUCCUUUGACCAACAUCUCUCUAAUCCCAUUCUACUCUCUACAUCUAUGAGUUCAGCUUUGUCUAUUAUACACACAAGUGAGAUCGUGUAGUGUUUGCCUUUCUCUUCCUGGCUUAUUUCAAUCCUGCAGUUCCAUCCAUGUUGUCACAAAUGAUAAGAUUUUCUUCUUUAUAAAGGCUGUAUAGUUCUUCAUCAUGUAGAUGCACCACAUUUUAAAAAAUCCUUUCAUCCAUUGGUGGACACUGAGAUUAUUUCCAUAUCUUGGUUUGGAACAGGAAUUAAAGGAAAUUAAAGAAUGUGUAAGCAGAAACUCAGCUGCAUGUAAGAAAACCCAGUUCCCCCCCAGAAAAAGAAAGAGCUGGAGUCCUUUAAAAAUUAACUGCCUGUUUUUCUGUGGCUAGUGAGCCUUAUCUCUCCUCCUUUCCCAGGCAUUGUGAAGACCCUGUUUCUCUAGCUGUGCAGCUGCAAGGUCACUCGACAGAUAAACUCAAGUUGUAAAACAUGUUUUUCCUUGAAAAGUAAGAAAUGAUGUAAUGGAUGUCUCAAUUAAUUGAAUAACUGUCUUUGUUUCUCGCUCCUGUAAUAUGCUUCCUCCUGCACAGAUCUCCCCCUGCCCCACGAAAUGCUUAAAAGGUAACUUAACUUUUUGUUCAGGGCUCAGUCCCUUGGAUGUUAAACCAACUGGGCCGGUGCACCUAAAUAAUAAAUAUCCCCCUGAACCUCAUCAGUCUCUCUGAUUCCUUGUCAAUCCCACUACAGGUUAUUGUGAACAAUACUAAAAUCAACAUGGAAUUGUAGACAUCUCUUCAACAUACUGAUGUCAAUUCCUUUGGAUAUAUACCAGUCGUGGGAUUGUUGGAUCAUAUGGUAGUUCUAUUUUUAAUUGUUGAAGAAACUUCAUACUGUUUUCUAUAACAGUUGUACUAAUUUAUGUUCCCACCAACAGUAUGCAAAGGUUCCCUUUUCUCUAUAUACUUGACAGUGACAGAGCAGGGGCACUGUCAUCUUGGACAAACACUGUCACUUUAAGUUCCAGCUCCAUUUUUAGCCUCAUGAAUUUCAAGGAAAUCACUUCUCUUCUAACAGCAAGCAGCCAGAAAGAGAGACAGUAAAACACAGAUAAGACAGCUGGAGCACAGAGGGAGAGGGGAAAGUCUUUUGAGUAACUGCCAAACUUCACACUCAUACAAUGGGCCCCAGUAAAACAGUGGGCCCUAAUAAGCACAUUCCUUUCCCUUUAGGUGCACUAAGAUAGGAAAGCCAAAAUCAGACUUGGAGGGUAUGCCUGUAGCUUCAGGAAGAUGUAUGGGAACAGACAAAAACUCUCUCUCCAAGAUAAGUAUGACAAAGAGGCACAGAAACAGUCCAAGCCUCUGAUAAGCUCUCCUGCCCUGAACCCUUAAAAACUCUUAGUCUGUAAGAGAGAGUGCCUCUGACCUAACUAGGCCAGAAGCCCCUCUCAGGUUGAUUCUUCAAAAUAAAGCUGCCUUUGACUGUUAAGCCACUAUUUGUGUUUCUUUCCUCUUUCUUUAGUUCUUACAGACAGCACUGGUUGUCUUCCCUUUUUAAAAUAAUAGAAAAUGUAACAAGUGUGAGGUGAUAUCUCAUUAUGGUUUCAAUUUGCAUUUCUCUGAAGAUUAGUGAUGUUGAUCAUUUUUUCAAAUACUUUUUGGCCAUUUGUAUGUCUUCUUUUAAGAAAUG
rnacentral:lncRNA from 10 species